GCACUGGUGGUUCAGUGGUAGGAUUCUCACCUUCCAUGCAAGAGACUGGGGUUCAAUUCCUGGCCAAUGUA
rnacentral:tRNA from 1 species